AAUACGAUAACCUGUGCUACAAUGUUUUAAAAUUGAAACAAAAAAUUCAGAUAGGUGAAAAAAUUUUAAGAGUAGAUUUAAAAUAGACAUUAAAACUCGCAGACGAUUAACGUCCACGAAACAAACCGACCAAAUAAACCCUUUUAAAAACCCCUAAACGUUUUCCAGGACUUGUUGAUGUCACCCGUCGCCUCAGAUGGGAAUUUAAUUGCCACAACCGGCCCGUGCGGCGAGAAUAGACGGCAUGCUGCCGCUCAGUAGAGAAGAAAAAAGAUAAACAGGUUUAUAGCAUAGAUUACCCUGGUCCAUACGUGUUAUCAUACAAAUAGUCGAUAACCGCAAGGAAAAGUUAGCCGGCGGGUCGCCCUAUCUCGCUAGUCUGGGCCCGGCUUUCGCCAAAAACGCAUCGACUCCUCGUCAUCCAAAACUGAAAUAUUUCCCCCUUUGGCCGAUUUUGCGACGGCGGACGUUGAUACGGAUUCGGCUAGAAUCACAGGAAUAUUGGAAGACGGAAGAAGUGAAGCGUAUGUGGCCAGGGUGCUUAACGUUCGUACAGCAACUGUCCGAAGGGUCUUCUAUCGGUACCAAGAUACUGGACGUUGCUCAACAAGGCAUCGAAUCGCCAUCGUGUCACUUUUCAGAGAGACGAUCGUUUUAUUGUUUCGAAUGUACUCUGUAAUCGUCAUUCAACCGGUGUUGAGAACAAGCAACGACUUCAACAAGUUAGAAAUGUUAACGUUAGUUUACGAACUGUAAGGCGAAGACAUUCAGCAACUGGGUUACGUGCGAGAAGGUCACUGGUCCAGAACUUCUGACAAGGCAGAGGACAUCUCGGUUAAGUUAUGCAAGAAAUCACAUCAAUAGGUCUGAGCAAGAUUGGACUAAAAGCUUGUUUUCGAUCAUGAUGAGUCAAGAUUUUGUUUAAGGUCUUCUGACGGCCGAGAGAGGGUUUGGAAAAGAACCAGAGAGAUCCCCGCAACAUUUUCACUCCGGAGAAGCUAUCGAGGUGGUAGUGCUAUGGUUGGCAAGCAUUUCAAUGGAAGAUCGCACAAACUUUAUCUUCAUCGAAGGUUACCUAACAGCUGCGCGAUACAUUGAAGAUGUGUUAUAAGAAGUUCUUUAUAUGCCACUAAUUGUCGACUGUUUUAUUUUUAUGCAUGACAAUUCAAGCCCCACGCAGCUAGGAUCGUUGCUGACUACUUGAAAGGGGCUUGAAUUCAAUGUUUGGCCAGUAUGUAGUCCCUACUUAAACCAUAUCAAACGCCUUUGGGACGAGAUGUCAAAGAGGGUAAAAGUCGCCCAGUGAUGCCAGAGAAUUUGCAGGAAUUAAGGAUGGCGCUGUUGGAUGAAAAUAUUCAACAGCACUACAUUAAAAACCUCAUAAAAUUGAUGUCAUGCGACUGCAAGCCGUGAUCUAAGCAAGAGGACCCGUAAUGAGAUGAAUAUUUUCUUCAUCUUUUCCACAGGAAUAUUUUCGGACGCAUGUCUUUCGACCAGCGAGCCUCACCACCUUCAGAUUUCUCCGUGUUUUAUCUCGAAUGCGUGGCUGACUUCGACAAUAUUCUACCAGAAACUGGGGAAAAAAACUACUGUGCAACGAUCAAUAAGAAAACUCUGAAAUUUCUAGUUUCAGGGGGCCAGUCACCCUAUCUAAUGUAUACACUAGACAUGGCCCAAGGUUCAGAUGCCCGAAAAUAGACCGAUAGGGUGUCCGAUUAACGAGAAUGAAUUGGCUAUAAAAUAAGAACGGCCAAAUUCAAAAUUUUCUGCACAAAUUUGUACCUAGGUGAUUCCGGGUGAGGUAAAUGAGAAGUCCUUACCUUCUUCUUCACUGUGUCCGGCUCCAUUGUGGUACCCCUUUCGCGAAUUAAACCUGCAG